ACGGGAGGCAGCAGUAGGGAAUCUUCGGCAAUGGACGAAAGUCUGACCGAGCAAUGCCGCGUGAGUGAAGACGGUUUUCGGAUUGUAAAGCUCUGUUAUUAGGGAAGAAAGAGGUUAGCAGGGAAUGGCUAACAAGUGACGGUACCUAAUGAGAAAGCCACGGCUAACUACGUGCCAGCAGCCGCGGUAA
rnacentral:rRNA from 1 species